UUNAUUCGAUGAUACGCGAGGANCNUUACCAGGGCUUAAAUGUAGUCUGACAGCUNNAGAGAUAGAGNUUUCUUCGGACAGAUUACAAGGUGCUGCAUGGUUGUCGUCAGCUCGUGCCGUGAGGUGUCAGGUUAAGUCCUAUAACGAGCGCAACCCCUGUCAUUAGUUGNCAGCAUGUAAAGAUGGGGACUCUAAUGAGACUGCCGGUGCAAACCGCGAGGAAGGUGGGGAUGACGUCAAAUCAUCACGGCCCUUACGUCCUGGGCCACACACGUGCUACAAUGGUAUGGACAAUGAGCAGCCAUCUGGCAACAGAGAGCAAAUCUAUAAACCAUAUCACAGUUCGGAUCGGAGUCUGCAACUCGACUCCGUGAAGCUGGGAUCGCUAGUAAUCGGAUAUCAGCCAUGAUCCGGUGAAUACGUUCCCGGGCCUUGUACACNCCGCCNCGUCAAGCCAUGGAAGCUNGGAGUGCCUGAAGUCG
rnacentral:rRNA from 1 species